rnacentral:rRNA from 1 species
UACGAAGGGGGCUAGCGUUGCUCGGAAUCACUGGGCGUAAAGCGCACGUAGGCGGCUCUUUAAGUCAGAGGUGAAAUCCCAAGGCUCAACCUUGGAACUGCCUUUGAUACUGGGGAUCUCGAGUCCGGAAGAGGAGAGUGGAAUUCCUGGUGUAGCGGUGAAAUGCGCAGAUAUCAGGAAGAACACCCGUGGCGAAGGCGGCUCUCUGGGACGGUACUGACGCUGAGACGCGAAAGCGUGGGGAGCGAACAGG